GACGAACGCUGGCGGCGUGCUUAACACAUGCAAGUCGAACGGAAAGGCCCCUUUGGGGGUACUCGAGUGGCGAACGGGUGAGUAACACGUGAGUAACCUGCCCUUGACUUCGGGAUAACUUCAGGAAACUGGGGCUAAUACCGGAUAGGAAUCCUUGCUGCAUGGAGGGGGUUGGAAAGCUUCGGCGGUUUUGGAUGGACUCGCGGCUUAUCAGCUUGUUGGUGGGGUAGUGGCUUACCAAGGCUUUGACGGGUAGCCGGCCUGAGAGGGCGACCGGCCACAUUGGGACUGAGAUACGGCCCAGACUCCUACGGGAGGCAGCAGUGGGGAAUAUUGCACAAUGGGCGGAAGCCUGAUGCAGCAACGCCGCGUGCGGGAUGACGGCCUUCGGGUUGUAAACCGCUUUCAGCAGGGGCGAAGCUUGUGGUGACGGUACCUGCAGAAGAAGCACCGGCUAACUACGUG
rnacentral:rRNA from 1 species